rnacentral:rRNA from 1 species
CGGCGUGCUUACACAUGCAAGUCGAACGAUGAAGCCUUUCGGGGUGGAUUAGUGGCGAACGGGUGAGUAACACGUGGGCAAUCUGCCCUUCACUCUGGGACAAGCCCUGGAAACGGGGUCUAAUACCGGAUAACACUCUGUCCUGCAUGGGACGGGGUUAAAAGCUCCGGCGGUGAAGGAUGAGCCCGCGGCCUAUCAGCUUGUUGGUGGGGUAAUGGCCUACCAAGGCGACGACGGGUAGCCGGCCUGAGAGGGCGACCGGCCACACUGGGACUGAGACACGGCCCAGACUCCUACGGGAGGCAGCAGUGGGGAAUAUUGCACAAUGGGCGAAAGCCUGAUGCAGCGACGCCGCGUGAGGGAUGACGGCCUUCGGGUUGUAAACCUCUUUCAGCAGGGAAGAAGCGAAAGUGACGGUACCUGCAGAAGAAGCGCCGGCUAACUACGUGCCAGCAGCCGCGGUAAUACGUAGGGCGCAAGCGUUGUCCGGAAUUAUUGGGCGUAAAGAGCUCGUAGGCGGCUUGUCACGUCGGAUGUGAAAGCCCGGGGCUUAACCCCGGGUCUGCAUUCGAUACGGGCUAGCUAGAGUGUGGUAGGGGAGAUCGGAAUUCCUGGUGUAGCGGUGAAAAUGCGCAAAUAUCAGGAGG